GUUCAAAAUUUCAAAAUGUCCCUUACAAUGCACGAAACGUACGUAAUCAUAAUUAGUCAUAACGAAUUCUCUGAGAAUUGGGAAUUGGAUGACGGAUGAUGUCAUUGCCCCGAAGUACCACUGAGGGGCGCAGCGCUGCUUGCGUGUGGCCAGUUAGACGCUCAAGAUGGCCGUCACGUACAUCUGAUCGGAGGUGUGUAUGCGAAAUUCGACGCCGAUUUGACGUGACACGGGUGGGCCGUGCAUCGUGCACCUCGCGCCGCUGGCAUGGUGAUCGCGCGGAGGUAACCGGAGCCGGGCAUCGACGCGGACCGUCCUGGGCGUCGCCGUCGAUGAUUGUUCCUGUCCCCGCGGCCGCCGGCGGCUUGAAUCAUGUUCAGCAAGAAGCUCCAUGUAGACGUCAAGAAGUCGACGCUCAAGAUCCAGGAUGUCAAGAAGGACAGCGCGACGCGGUUCAAACAUCUUAAAAUCGUACUAGAAAAUGUGGACACUGAUGAGGCAAAGGGCUUUUUUGAGGGUAACUUCAGCCAUGUGUACUUCAUUCUUUACGAUUGCUUCGUGUCCGCCGAAGCAAAUCUUCGGCAACGCGAGCUUUCCUUCCAUAUUGUGCAUAAGGCACACAGGGAAGAGUUAGAACAAGUAUUGCAACUUCUGGAGAAAGUUUUAACUCUUCUUCCUGAGCUGCUUAACAGACGAUGGCAGUGUCAUAGUUUAGCACGGAUUUUGCAGAAGCUCUUGCAUCCUGGUAAUAGUUGGAAACUUCGUAGACAAGCUAUAAGGUACUUCAUUUUAUGGUAUCAAGCUCUUGGUGAAAAUGCUCCCGAACAUAUACAUCAGAUGUUCGCCAGCUUGGUGCCAGGAUUUCCACCGCAUCAAGCAUCGCCUUAUAAAUGUGAUCGUAAGACAGAUGGCAAGAAAGAAAAACUGGCGAAAGCAUCUAAUUCUGAAGAGAAAGAUAAGAGAGAAUUUUAUGACACGCAAUUCGGGCAAAGUACUUUUCAUGAUAAUGGAUCAAAUCAAUGUCCUAUCAGUCAAGUUGAUGGCGGGCCUAUCUUACCACCGCAAAGUGGAGAAAAACCUCUCGAUAAUGAAACUGUUCGAUUUUUGGAAGCAUUGCUUGAAUUUAUGGUUACUCAGGUGGUAAAAGUAGAAUGGCGAGAUAAAUCUACACGACAGCAUAAAACUUUUCAAUUUUUAUUAGAACGUUUUAAAGUAGCAUAUCUUCGUCACAUCUGUCCGGAAUUCAAUGACAACUUUUCCCUUUACAAACCUAAUUUGGAAUUACCCACAAUGCGUAAACCGAUGAAUCAAAAUCAGAAUAAUUAUGUACUCUGUAAAGUCGCUUUAAUCAAAUGGGUUGCAAGUUUCACGCAUGUCGCUAGAAAAGAUGGACUUUUUGCACAUCUUUCGCAAAGUACAACACCAAAUGAGGAAAAUGCCGAGUCAGAAUUACGCCGUGUGUCGGUGUAUACUCAAAAUUCUGCGGAUUCGAAUUUAUUGUCACCUGAAUCAGCUAUGUCCCAGCAGGAUAGUCAAAAUCAAGAAGAUAGUGCCGUGUCAGCCUUGUUAGUCAGAGAGGUUUUAUAUGGAAAUAGGGAUAAUGUAAAUUUUGUACACGAAUUGUACAGACAAGCAUUUCUCUUAGAUUUCCAUCAUGCGGGAGCCAUAAGAAAGGCUAUCGCUGUUUAUAAAGAUUGGAUUCAAAUGAACGAAAUCCCUCCAUUUAUGUUGGAACCAUUAGAUGGUCAUAAAGAUCGGGAUUAUGAAGAAAGUCAAAAAAAGGAAAGUGAAAUGGAGAAGAGUCCAUCUGAUAGUUAUCGGACGAGAUUAAGAAAUGAUUCUUAUCUUGGCGCUAUACAUCGGGAAAAUUUGUUUAUUAGGGCAGGCUUGCAAAAUGUUUUACAAAUUUUUAUCACUCAAGCGUCAAACGUAUUUUUCUUAGAGAACUCGGGACCGAAUGCAUCUUUAACGUUACUCGAGGAACAAACGGACAGUUGUAAGAGAGUUCUAAAUGUGUAUCGAUACGUUGUUAUGCACUCUAGGCUGGAACCAGCAACUUGGGAACAGUUACUUAGAGUAUUACUCCAAAUUACAUCGCUCGUGUUAAGCGAGAAAUCCUCUCGCCGCAAGCAUCAAGAAAGUAUCGGUGGAAAACUUGCGCCUGCCAUAUUCCAGACUUUAAUUGUUACAUGGAUUAAGGCUAACUUAAACGUGGUUAUUUCUACCCAGUUAUGGGACCAGUUUCUAGAGGUGUUAACAUCGUUAACGCAAUGGGAAGAAUUAAUUCGUGAGUGGGCGAAAACUCUAGACACACUAACAAGAGUAUUAGCGAGACACGUGUACAACUUGGAUUUGAAUGAUCUACCUUUAGACAGACUCAGCGAACAAAAAUCAAAAAAGCGACGUGGAGUUGGAAGCCGCGCAGCGUCAACUGGAAGCGUACAGCCGCCUCGGAAAGGUAGCGUUGAUCAAGAAAACAAUAUCGCGCCGAAAGAAAGUGUCGUAGAUCACCCUCUGCGUGAUAUGAGGAAAGUGCGACCAUUACCGCGCAGUGCGAGUGACAACACUAUAUACAAUGUCAAGGCUCGUACGAAGUUGCAUAGGCAGCGGACGCAUACGAUACAUAGCGGUAUUCCUGUACUCCCCCUAUCGAUAGAACAAGAUAUGGCGCGGUUACUGUCAAGCGGCUCGGCUUCGUCGUCAGCGACCAGUCGGAAGAUGCUGUCCAGCAGACGUGCCAAAUCUUUGGAUAGCAUUGUUAUAGUUGAUAGUGAACCACCAUCACCACGCUGCCCGUCGCCAACACCCAGCAGUGGCGUUGACAGCAACAAAGAUAGCCCUAUACAAAUAGAAAAUAUUGAUGGUAGCAGUAUUGACACAAAUGACGCAUCUGAGAGAAGAUCAGUUAUGGCAGGUGGAGGGGUCCGUGGAUGGUUGCCAGAUGUGGCUGUCGUUUUAUGGCGACGUAUGCUCUCAGCAUUAGGAGAUGUUAAUAAUAUUCAAGAUCCCGUUUUGCACGGUCAAGUUAUGGAUUAUCUUGUGCAACUUACACAAACGUUAAUUAAGAUACGUUUGAAUCAAGGAGUAUCCGGAGAUAAUCAAGCUACACCUCCAGCACCAGAGUUAAUUCCACCUCUGACAGUCAUCGCACCUUGGUGUUUCAAGGCGAUCCAGCUUCCUGAUCAAUACGAAAUUGGCAAAUUAGCCGCAUAUCGUCUUAUAUGUCUUUUAACAGUACAACCACUGGACAUUAGUUUACCAAAACAGCAUCUUACGCUCUUCUAUCGCGCCGUUCACAAUGGAAUUGCUAGUAAUGAUAGUAAAGUACUGCAUGUACUUGUGAAAUAUACAGGACCCAGAUUAUUUAGUUUGAAUCUACCUGGAUCGAGUCUUCUGACUUUGGACUACAUACACGCUGCAAAUGUAAUACUUAGCAGUCAAGAUGUCGAGGCACCAAGGACGGAAGCUGUUUCUAUUAUUGGUUCGUUAUUAUCCUUACCUGUUGCAACGAUCAAAUUACCCAUGUUACAACCAAAUGGGCCUGAUAUUGUAACUAUGACGUGUCCAGAAGCAAAAGAGCACAUUGUAACAAUACUUCUGCGGAGUUGUCGACGAGAACCCACUGGUAUUGCGAGAUGCUUGGCUCUAUCAAGUAUUGCAAUGUUUGUAUAUAAAGAACUAUCCUAUAAAACACAACAUCCGAGAAUUCCGGAAGCUGUCACAGUUCUUCUACUUGCACUUAGAGCUUCUCACGCUACUGUUGCACAGGUUGCGUGUGAUUCUUUGUUACUUCUUUGCGAUAAGGCUGAUGUACUACUAGAAUUGUAUCCUAAUGUGCCAUCUAAGAUAAUACAGAUCUUAUCGGAUACACUUGGACGAAUGACAACGCGUGAAAGACGCGGACCUUUAACGGUGUCGAUGCUAUUUUGCUUAGGCGAAUGGGCCAUGCAUUUAGGACCAACAGUAUUACUACAGGUGUUUCAAGGAAAACCUCUCUUGAUGACUUUAUUUACAGUUUUAAACAACAUAGUGCAAAAUAAAGUUGGAAAAGAAUUUUCGAAAACCGCUAAAAAUAACGAGGAUGACGAUGAUGAUUUUGAUCCUAAUAUUAUAUUAGAUAACUUAAUUGAUGAGUCCUCUACAAAAUCACCCCGCAAAGGAAAUAUUCAGUCGGUACAAUUGGCAGCAAAAAUGGUAUUGAUGCAUUUAAUUAAUCAUCUGGGACAUUUUCCGAUGGGUAUCGGAGCCGCGCGUCUCUCAUCACUGGUUGUUGAGUUGGACGACGUUCCUGGAAUCGACGGAGACGAGCUAUCCUCCGCCGUUUUUCAAGCACCUAAUAUACAGCUGUUGAUGCUAUCUAAUUCGAUCAUAAUGUCACUUGUAGAAUUAGCGGCAUUGGAUGCACCUGGCGGAGGCGUCACAGCUGGUUUGACUACAGCUCCUUCUCUGGUCAGAGUUUUGUUGCGUGAUCUCGCCGGAAAAGCUUCUUGGGACAGUUCGAUCUUGUAUAGCCAACCUUUCAUUGAUGACGAUCUGCCGUUACCGUUUACAAAACCUGUUGAUUGGAACGUGAAAUUACAUACAGAAGAUUUGAAUAGUGUCAUCACACCUCACAACUGUACACCCAGACACACAAUACGGCAUCGCGAGCCCCACAUAUUACCGACUUUUGCGAAUGCUGCAAGCGACAUGGAUAACUUGGACGAUCUUCUUCAAUAUAUAGGACAUACAAGCCCGGAGGUUUUAACCAAUCCAGAAGUCGCUCUCAAUGCCCCCGCUAAUCCACCUCAGGGACAUUAUCUCGAGAGCGAGACUAUUGCGACGAUUUUGAAUCAGAGAAACGCAGAGCAAGAACACAUGAAUAAUUGGAAUCAACACAUCAGUAUGAGCGCAACAGCAAUCAGUCCACCGUCAUGUCGCCCGCCUCCGGCGCCAUUUCAUCACUGCCGCCUCCUGUUUUCGCACCUCGGUUUAUCUGGCUGGGAGCUGCGUAAGAAAUUGCAUUUGUUAGCGAAAAACGAGAAACUCUUACGUGAACUUCGUAAUCUCGAUGGCCAACGGUCUCGGGAGACACACAAAAUAGCGGUGAUUUACGUUAGCCAAGGCCAGGAAGACAAGAACUCCAUACUAAGCAACGUCACUGCCAGUAAGGAGUAUGAGAGUUUUAUCGCGAGACUCGCUUGGGAAGUUGAGCUGGAAUCGCACACCGGUUUUCUUGGCGGCUUGGUACCCGGAAAGGCAUCUGGUGUCACCGCACCAUACUAUGCUACAUCUUUCACUGAAAUUCUCUUCCAUGUUGCUACAAGGAUGCCAUCGGAUAGUCCUGAGAGUUUGCUGCAAAAGACACGGCACCUUGGCAAUGAUGAAAUCCACAUAGUCUGGUCGGAACAUUGGCGAGAUUAUCGCAGAGACAUCAUACCCACAGAAUUCUGCGACGUUCUCAUUGUCAUUUAUCCAUUGAAAAAUAAGCUGUAUCGAAUACAGAUUUCGCGUAAAUCGGAGAUUCCAUUUUUCGGUCCAUUAUUUGAUGAGUGUAUUGUGGAGGAUAAGGUAUUACCGGGUUUAGUGAGGACAACCGCGUUAGCUGCGAGUAAAGCGAAGAGGUCUACGCUUACGUUAUAUCAACAUUAUUAUGAGGAGAGAGCGCGAUCCAUCGAUACCGUUAUGAGAAAUCACAAGGAAGCUACAACAUUCGAAGAGUUUACGGCCAAUGUUUAUUCACCAGUGCAACCGCCAAGUCCGUUUAGCGCAGCUUCGUCUGUCUCUGGAUCUACAACAAGCGUGCAAUCCACAGCAUCGUCAAACCUCGCAGCAGCACUUAUAGAUUCGCACCAGGGACGCUCCGGUUUGCGCAGCAGUUCGACGGCGAGCAGUGACAAUCGUGCGAAUAGAGGUGACUAAUUCAGUCCACUAACCCCCACCCACCUUGUAACACCACCGAACAAGUCUUGCAAAAUAUAUUCAGAGUUUCUGACGGAAGCAGAGUAUGGUUUAGUAGUGAUACUCCCGAGAGUCCUGCGCUUCA
rnacentral:misc_RNA from 1 species